rnacentral:rRNA from 1 species
UACAGAGGUCUCAAGCGUUGUUCGGAUUCAUUGGGCGUAAAGGGUGCGUAGGUGGCGCGGUAAGUCGGGUGUGAAAUUUCGGAGCUUAACUCCGAAACUGCAUUCGAUACUGCCGUGCUUGAGGACUGGAGAGGAGACUGGAAUUCACGGUGUAGCAGUGAAAUGCGUAGAGAUCGUGAGGAAGACCAGUGGCGAAGGCGGGUCUCUGGACAGUUCCUGACACUGAGGCACGAAGGCCAGGGGAGCAAACGGG